CCGAGAGCCGCGGCGCGCGGCGUGUGGGGGCCCGCGCGGGCCCCCGCCGUCCGCGGAGCUUGGGGUGACCCGCCCGCGGCCGGACGCCGGCAUCGGGCAGCGCACGCGGCGCGCCCGUCCCCUCAGGCCCGGCUCAGGUGUGGGCGCCGGGCGCGCGGCCGCGGCCGGGCUGGGGAGGGUUUGAAUGGGCGCGGGCGCUGCUCGGACCCGCGCCGAGGCUGCGGGCCGGGGCCGUGGGCGCGGGAAGUCGCUCGCGCCCUCCGAGCGCGUUUCCUGUUCUAAGAUGGCAACAGUCGAGAGAGGACCCUGUCGCGCCGCCGGCUCGGAGGCAGCGGGCGCCCGCCCGGGCGGUGACGUCGGAGCGGUGGGCGCCGAGGUGGGCAAGGGGGCGCGGCUCGGGCUGGUGGCGUCACAGGCGCCCGGAGAGCCGACGAGGCCGAGACCGAAGCCCGGGGGACCGCGACAGUUCCGGGCCAACGUGAUAGUCGCUACAGCAUAGAAGGGCGGGUAGGCUCAGACCGCGCAGCCUCUCCGGGUCACCCUGGCCGGCCUAUCAGGUACAGUCUCCAUUGGUGCCACCAUUAAUGCUUGGGAGCCACCAGAGCUAUAUCCAGGGACCAUGCAGUGUUGGGAAUUCAACUCAGGAUCUUGAACAUGCUAGACAUGUGCUUCACACCUUGAGCUGUCUCCCUUACCUUCACAUUGGCCUUAUAUGGGAUGAAAUAAAGAACUAUGUGUUACUAAUAAAUUAGGCUACACCUGGCAGUGCUUAGAGUUUACUCCUGGCUCUGCAUUCAAGAUUUACUGCUUGCUGACUCAGGGAACCAUGUGGGAUGCCGGGAACCAAACCCGGGUCAGCCUCAUGCAAGGCAAACACCCUAUCUACUUACUAUUGCUCUGAUUCCUACAUGUAAAUUUAAAUUCACA